rnacentral:rRNA from 1 species
UACGUAGGAGGCAAGCGUUAUCCGGAGUUACUGGGCGUAAAGAGUGCGUAGGCGGAUUGAUAAGUGGGUGGUGAAAGCGCCCGGCUAAACCGGGCGAGGUCCAUUCAGACUGUCAGUCUAGAGGCGGAUAGAGGGGUGCGGAAUUCCGGGUGUAGCGGUGAAAUGUGUAGAGAUCCGGAAGAACACCAGUGGCGAAGGCGGCUCACUGGCCCGGUACUGACGCUGAUGUGCGAAAGCGUGGGGAGCAAACAGG